UACGUAGGGGGCAAGCGUUGUCCGGAAUCAUUGGGCGUAAAGAGCGCGUAGGCGGCCCUGUAAGUCCGCUGUGAAAGUCAAGGGCUCAACCCUUGAAUGCCGGUGGAUACUGCAGGGCUAGAGUCCGGAAGAGGCGAGUGGAAUUCCUGGUGUAGCGGUGAAAUUCGCAGAUAUCAGGAAGAACACCCGUGGCUAAGGCGGCUCUCUAGUACGGUACUGACGCUGAGACGCGAAAGCGUGGGGAGCGAACAGG
rnacentral:rRNA from 1 species